UGGGGAAUUUUGGACAAUGGGCGAAAGCCUGAUCCAGCAAUGCCGCGUGUGUGAAGAAGGCCUUCGGGUUGUAAAGCACUUUUGUCCGGAAAGAAAUCCUUGGCUCUAAUACAGUCGGGGGAUGACGGUACCGGAAGAAUAAGCACCGGCUAACUACGUGCCAGCAGCCGCGGUAAUACGUAGGGUGCAAGCGUUAAUCGGAAUUACUGGGCGUAAAGCGUGCGCAGGCGGUUUGCUAAGACCGAUGUGAAAUCCCCGGGCUCAACCUGGGAACUGCAUUGGGUGACUGGCAGGCUAGAGUAUGGCAGAGGGGGGUAGAAUUCCACGUGUAGCAGUGAAAUGCGUAGAGAUGUGGAGGAAUACCGAUGGCGAAGGCAGCCCCCUGGGCCAAUACUGACGCUCAUGCACGAAAGCGUGGGGGAGCAAAACAGGAUUAGAUACCCUGGUAGUCCACGCCCUAAAACGAUGUCAACUAGUUGUUGGGGGAUUCAUUUCCUUAGUAACGUAGCUAACGCGUGAAGUUGACCGCCUGGGGAGUACGGUCGCAAGAUUAAAACUCAAAUGAAUUGACGGGGUC
rnacentral:rRNA from 1 species